GAUGAAGAACGUAGCGAAAUGCGAUAAGUAGUGUGAAUUGCAGAAUUCAGUGAAUCAUCGAAUCUUUGAACGCACAUUGCGCCCUAUGGUAUUCCGUAGGGCAUGCCUGUUCGAGCGUCAUUCAAACCUUCAAGCUCUGCUUGGUGUUGGGCGUCUGUCCCGCCUCACGGCGCGGACUCGCCUCAAAUCUAUUGGCGGCCGGCACGUUGGCUUCGAGCGCAGUAGAAACGCGAACUCGAGACCGGCGGAUCGGCUCCCAGAAGCUAACCCCCAUGAAUUUGACCUCGGAUCAGGUAGGGAUACCCGCUGAACUUAAGCAUAUCAAUAAGCGGAGGA
rnacentral:misc_RNA from 1 species